rnacentral:rRNA from 1 species
UACGGAGGGUGCAAGCGUUAAUCGGAAUUACUGGGCGUAAAGCGCGCGUAGGUGGUUUGAUAAGCGAGAUGUGAAAGCCCCGGGCUUAACCUGGGAACGGCAUUUCGAACUGUCAGGCUAGAGUAUGGUAGAGGAGUGUGGAAUUUCCUGUGUAGCGGUGAAAUGCGUAGAUAUAGGAAGGAACACCAGUGGCGAAGGCGGCACUCUGGACCAAUACUGACACUGAGGUGCGGAAAAGCGAUGGGGAGCAAACAGGGAUUAAUACCCGAGUCC